rnacentral:rRNA from 1 species
GAUGAACGCUGGCGGCGUGCCUAACACAUGCAAGUCGAACGGAGAUUACGGACGGAAGUUUUCGGAUGGAAGACUGUAAUUCUUAGUGGCGGACGGGUGAGUAACGCGUGGGCAACCUGCCCUAUACAGGGGGAUAGCAGCUGGAAACGGCUGGUAAGACCGCAUAAGUCGGUUAAAUCGCAUGAUUUGAUCGGGAAAUGAGCAAUCAGGUAUAGGAUGGGCCCGCGUCCGAUUAGCCAGUUGGCAGGGUAAAAGCCUACCAAAGCGACGAUCGGUAGCCGGACUGAGAGGUCGGACGGCCACAUUGGGACUGAGACACGGCCCAAACUCCUACGGGAGGCAGCAGUGGGGGAUAUUGCACAAUGGAGGAAACUCUGAUGCAGCGACGCCGCGUGAGUGAAGAAGUAUUUCGGUAUGUAAAGCUCUAUCAGCAGGGAAGAUGAUGACGGUACCUGACAAAGAAGCCCCGGCUAACUACGUG